rnacentral:rRNA from 1 species
GAGUUUGAUCGUGGCUCAGAUUGAACGCCGGCGGUAUGCUUAACACAUGCAAGUCGAACGGUAACAGGCUAGCUUGCUAGCGCUGACGAGUGGCGGACGGGUGCGUAACGCGUAGGAAUCUGCCUAUUAGUGGGGGGACAACCUGGUGAAAACCAGGCUAAUACCGCAUACGCCCUACGGGGAAAGACAGGGGAUCUUCGGACCUUGCGCUAAUAGAUGAGCCUGCGUUAGAUUAGCUUGUUGGUGAGGUAAUGGCUCACCAAGGCGACGAUCUAUAGCUGGUCUGAGAGGACGAUCAGCCACACUGGGACUGAGACACGGCCCAGACUCCUACGGGAGGCAGCAGUGGGGAAUAUUGGACAAUGGGCGGAAGCCUGAUCCAGCAAUACCGCGUGUGUGAAGAAGGCCUGAGGGUUGUAAAGCACUUUCAAUUGGGAGGAAAACAGGCAGGUUAAUAUCCUGUCUCUUGACAUUACCUUUAGAAGAAGCACCGGCUAGCUCCGUGCCAGCCC